rnacentral:rRNA from 1 species
UACCUACGGGGGGCAGCAGUGAGGAAUAUUGGUCAAUGGCCGAGAGGCUGAACCAGCCAAGUCGCGUGAGGGAUGACGGCCCUACGGGUUGUAAACCUCUUUUGUCGGGGAGCAAGACCCGCCACGAGUGGCGGAGCGAGAGUACCCGAAGAAAAAGCAUCGGCUAACUCCGUGCCAGCAGCCGCGGUAAUACGGAGGAUGCGAGCGUUAUCCGGAUUUAUUGGGUUUAAAGGGUGCGCAGGCGGGAGAUCAAGUCAGCGGUAAAAUGUCGGGGCUCAACCCCGGCCGGCCGUUGAAACCGGUUU